rnacentral:rRNA from 1 species
AGAUUGAACGCUGGCGGCGUGCCUAACACAUGCAAGUCGAGCGGUAACAGGUGUAGCAAUACAUGCUGACGAGCGGCGAACGGGUGAGUAAUGCUUUGGAAUCUUCCCAGUAGUGGGGAAUAACCAGUCGAAAGAUUGGCUAAUACCGCAUACGUCUGUAAAGGGAAAGCGGGGGCUCGUAAGACCUCGCGCUAUUGGAUGAGCCAAAGUCGGAUUAGCUAGUUGGUGGGGUAAUGGCCUACCAAGGCGACAAUCCGUAGCUGGUCUGAGAGGACGACCAGCCACACCGGAACUGAGACACGGUCCGGACUCCUACGGGAGGCAGCAGUGGGGAAUAUUGGACAAUGGGGGAAACCCUGAUCCAGCGACGCCGCGUGUGUGAGAAGGCCUGCGGGUUGUAAAGCACUUUUAGUGGGGACAAAAAGCUACGGACUAAUAUUCUGUGGUCUUGAUUUAACCCAAAGAAAAAGCACGGCUAACUCUGUGCCAGCAGCCGC